GACGAACGCUGGCGGCGUGCCUAACACAUGCAAGUCGAGCGGGGUUGAAGCGAGGGGUAACUCGAGUUUCUACCUAGCGGCGGACGGGUGAGUAACGCGUGGGCAACCUGCCUCAAGGACUGGGAUAACAGCUCGAAAGGGCUGCUAAUACCGGAUAUGCCUGUGGCCUCGCAUGGGGCUAUGAGCAAAGGGGAAACCCGCCUUGAGAUGGGCCCGCGUCCCAUCAGCUAGUUGGUGAGGUGAAGGCUCACCAAGGCGACGACGGGUAGCCGGCCUGAGAGGGUGACCGGCCACACUGGGACUGAGACACGGCCCAGACUCCUACGGGGGGGCAGCAGUGGGGAAUCUUGCACAAUGGGCGAAAGCCUGAUGCAGCGACGCCGCGUGAGCGAAGAAGGCCUUCGGGUUGUAAAGCUCUGUCUGGAGGGACGAAGGAAGUGACGGUACCUCCGGAGGAAGGCCGACGGCUAACUACGUGCCAGCAGCCGCGGUAAAGUCACGUCG
rnacentral:rRNA from 1 species